rnacentral:tRNA from 1 species
GUGUUAAUGGCUUAUAUGGUAGAGCACUUGUUUAACAAGAGGCCCUGGGUUCAACUCUAAGUAACACA